UGCUUUUUUAAAGUAUAUUAUAUACGUAUUUAUAUAUACAGCUAGGUCUUAUGAAUAUAUAAUUUUUCAUACAAAAGUUUCAGGAAAACAACAACAAUGUAUACAUGCUAGCUUGAAGAUGGUCCUAACUUAUGACGUAUUCGACGUAUCUCUGCAGCGGUAGUACGUCUGUCCUUGUAGUUGGAGACAACUGUACAUCACUGUACGUAAACAACUUAAGUAUGUGACGAUGCUGGACAGAAAAUUAAGCUUGCCAUUUAUAAGUAAUUUCCUUGUUAAUGUUAUAAAGAAAGGACAAAUUCUGGUAGUACAGGAUACAAC
rnacentral:lncRNA from 1 species